UACGAAGGGUGCAAGCGUUACUCGGAAUUACUGGGCGUAAAGCGUGCGUAGGUGGUUUGUUAAGUCUGAUGUGAAAGCCCUGGGCUCAACCUGGGAACUGCAUUGGAAACUGGCUGACUAGAGUGCGGUAGAGGGGUGUGGAAUUCCCGGUGUAGCAGUGAAAUGCGUAGAUAUCGGGAGGAACAUCUGUGGCGAAGGCGACACCCUGGACCAGCACUGACACUGAGGCACGAAAGCGUGGGGAGCAAACAGGAUUAGAUACCCUGGUAGUCCACGCCCUAAACGAUGCGAACUGGAUGUUGGGGGCAACUUGGCCCUCAGUAUCGAAGCUAACGCGUUAAGUUCGCCGCCUGGGAAGUACGGUCGCAAGACUGAA
rnacentral:rRNA from 1 species